rnacentral:lncRNA from 1 species
GAGUGUUUAUGAGAGAAUAAGAGGCUUAGGAACAUAGAUUAAGAGACUGAGAGAUUAGGAGAAUAAGAGAUUAGAGAUUAGGGUUUCAGAUUCAAGAACAAGUUUAUCAUUCAUGAAGUGAAGAGGGGAACUCCUCCUUACUCCCUGAGGGUUACAAAUCGCCACUACAUAGCCUUUAUAUAGGGCUUACACUUUGCAAUUACAUAAACCCUUAAUCUAAUGGAUAGAAAUAACUUGAGAUGAAUGGAUGGCUAGGAUGGAAGGUGAGUUUGCAAUAUGUGCGAUGUCUUGUGAUUGGAUGAUAGAUGAUGGUGUCUGAUUGGUUAAUUCAAAUCUAGUCAAGGCAAGAGCUGGCUUCUGAUUGGCUGAUUAUAGGCUCCUAUGAACCUUCCCAUGUAUCAGACCAGAUACAUGGUCCAUGCUCCUUUAACUUUACAGCUCACUUUAGCUCAUGACAGCCUGCCUUAUCCACAAACGUCCACAAGCUGCUACAGCUCAGGUCGUCUCUCUUCUUUCUGAACAGGCGCCCUAUCUUUGCACUUCUUCACUUCGGGUUGAUUCGGAACAAGUACGGUCGAUGGUACGGACCAUCUGUCCGUACCUCGCCCUAUUUUCGCACCAUCACUCAACUAUCUCCAAAUGGUGUCUAAGUCCCUCCUGGACUUGACUUGGAUCAAGUGUUACUCGUUUUAAGAUUAAGCAAACGGGUACUGGCUUGUGGGGAGGGGGAGGGGGCAUUUUCAUUCAGUAUAAUAAGCUUUAUGAGCAUUGGUGUUUUAUUUGAUUCUAAGAGUAGAAGGAAGCUAGUUCUUCCAUUGUUUCAUUGUUUUCUAUCACGUAUGGGAAUAAAGUUGUUAUUUGGGUUUCAUGGUGCUUUGGUCUUUUAACGUUUCUCAUACCAUAUUCUUGUAAUGACACUAUGAAUUUGGUGUGGAACCAUGAGAGAGUUUGGGGGUGUAUAGGUAUAUGGAUUUUCAGGCGCGAUCCAAUAAUGUUUUUAGAUUAUGAUCAGUGGAUGGAAGAGAUAUAUGUUAACAAUGUUUGGAUUGUGGAUCAUUAUUUAAUUGUGUAUAAGGGUCCAGUAAUUGGCUGGCAGGAAUGGGAACACAUUGUGAAAUCAUGGUUUGGAAUAUUAAGGAUACGGAGGAGUGUCAUGUGGUUUGUUCAAUGGAGACUAAAGAGCUUAUAUUGGCUAAAUAUUCUACGCUUUAUAUGGAGAUUAAUAUCUCAAAACCAGGGUAUCAAUAUGGCGAUUGACAAGGAAUGUAAUCUGAACUCAUCAGAUCAUAAGGGUUUAUUAGAUCACAGUAUCACUAAUCCUUAUUAUUUUAUUAUUUUUACUCUUGUUUGGAGUGUAAAGCAAUACAGGACAGCUAUGGUAUUUGUGGUAGUGGUGUUGGACAUAAAAUUCUUGGUACAAGAGUGGCAUGAACAAAUGAUAGAGUCAAUUGGCCUUAUGAUCAUAGCAGUUGCAUCUAAGGAGAUUCCUUUUAAGGACGCUAGGGUGUGGUUUCGAUCUGGGGACUUGAGAAGAAAAUAUAAAAACUUUGGGUGGUUUGGAAUUUUUAAUGUUUUUAGCUUGAAACUUAUAAGAUCUUGUCUGGAAACUUUUUUUUUUUUUUUUGGUUAUUCCUGGAGCUCAUUGGUAUUGGAACAUAAAUUGAAUUUGGUAUGGUUAAACAAAGAGCAAAUUUUGCGGAUUAGGAAUCGAGGUGGGCGUUUGUUUUGGACUAAAUGGUGUUCUAAUUGUCAUCAGAAUGAGGGAUUAAGACAGUGUGAGCGAGAUUUGUGUCGGGGUGAUGUAUUUUUAUUCGUCGUUUUGGUAUGGUGGUCGUGGGGUUUUGGAAUUGUUGGUUUUUCGGGUGGCAUCAAACCUGAGUCCUUACGCUCGUAUGAGCAAUAUAAAUAUUUUUAUAUAUGAAAAUACUAAGUUGGAAUUGCAGAGGAGUUGGAAGUUAUGAGAUUUGUAGAGUUCUCUUCUCUGGUUGUACGUGUGUAUAAACUCCAAUGCAGAAAGAUGAGAGUUUACUCUAGGUGAUUUAGAAAGAGAGAUGGAUGAGAGUGUUUAUGAGAGAAUAAGAGGCUUAGGAACAUAGAUUAAGAGACUGAGAGAUUAGGAGAAUAAGAGAUUAGAGAUUAGGGUUUCAGAUUCAAGAACAAGUUUAUCAUUCAUGAAGUGAAGAGGGGAACUCCUCCUUACUCCCUGAGGGUUACAAAUCGCCACUACAUAGCCUUUAUAUAGGGCUUACACUUUGCAAUUACAUAAACCCUUAAUCUAAUGGAUAGAAAUAACUUGAGAUGAAUGGAUGGCUAGGAUGGAAGGUGAGUUUGCAAUAUGUGCGAUGUCUUGUGAUUGGAUGAUAGAUGAUGGUGUCUGAUUGGUUAAUUCAAAUCUAGUCAAGGCAAGAGCUGGCUUCUGAUUGGCUGAUGAAGCCCUUCUAUAACACUCCUGAAGCCUAUCAGACAAUCUCUGGAAGACUUGCCCUAUUCUUGCACAAGACCCAAACUCAACUCAACUCCUCCUUUGGCUCCAUUUCUUUCUUCAAGUUAACACUCCCCCUCAAGCUUGACUCUAGGCGAUCCUAAGUCAAUCUUGGAACCUUGAAGAACUCUCUCAUUAAAAACCUUACCAAGGAAAACCCUUUGGGACAAAACCUUGAUGAGGGAAAAAGAGUAGAGCCAACAAGGCCUAGGGAUUGGCCAGUGAGCUCUUGUGCCUUAGAACCAGUGUGGUUGGACACAAGAAGCUCUAGAUCACGGCCUAAACAGGUGCAGCAACACUUCAAGUUUUGCGCACACUUCACCACACCUUCUUGGACUCUUUUAUCGAACCGGUUUAGUGUCUCCCCCUUUCACCGAACUUCAUGCCAUCUUGAAAGGCUAGGAGCGACCUGAUCCUCUCCAUUGAGUCUCCAAGUAAGGUACCUGAUAUAUUAUUCCACAAGUGUAUCAAUACUUAUCAAGUACGUAACUCAAUCAAUUCAUGCUUAUAGACCGUCUUAGUAAGACUAGUAUUCUUUAUAGAUUACUAGAUAUGUUGCUGUCUAGUAAAACUAAUAUUCCUAACGGAUUACUAGAUAUGAUUGAAAAUGAUGAAUUGAAAUUGAGUACAGGAAAACAUCCCUUUUGUUUUGGUGAGGAGUGACUGGACCGGCCUGAGUCUUCCCUUCUCUCGUGGCUUCUUGCCAUCUCCAUCAGGUAAGACAUGCCUAGCUCCUUUUGCUUUGGUGAGGAGUGCCUGCUCUUCACACACCACUUGAGUCCCUCACUUGCUGAGCUUAUCAGCUCCUUCUCUUAUCAUGCAAGCUCACCAACACUCCCCCUCAAGCUUGAGACCGAGUAUAGGGAAGGUCCAAGCUUGAAGGUGAGCGCAUACUAAGCUCUAUGAUCAUUCUUGUGGGAACACCUCCAUCUUCUUCAGACUUGAUGCUUACAGCCCCACUUCUCCAUGAUCAGCUUGCAAUGGUCUUGGUCUUAAUUGCAUCACCCUCCUGGUGAUGCUCUUCCUUGCAUGUCUACUGUCCUCUCUACACUCAUCUGAUGUGUAGGCUAUGGUGACUAAACCACCAUGGACAGAACCGCAAGUCACCUCUCCAUUGUCACAACAAUCUCUCUACCCUCUUUGGAGCAGACUGCGGACUUCUCCACAGAAUGUUGGCAAUAGGCUUCAUCUUUCCAUUUUCCCAACAUCCUCUCUACCCUCUUUGGAGCAGGCUGUGGACUUCUCCACAGAAUGUUGGCAAUAGGCUUCAUCUCUCCAUUGUCACAACAUCCUUUCUACCCUCUUUGGAGCAGGUUGUGGACUUCUCCACAGAAUGUUGGAAAUAUGCUUCAUCUCUCCAUUGUUACAACAUCCUCUCUACCCUCUUUGGAGUAGGUUGUGGACUUCUCCACAGAAUGUUGGCAAUAGGCUUCAUCUUAUCAUUCUCUUGUAAUGAUAAGGAGGAAACAUGUCUUGAACUUUGGCUCUUCAGGUUGCUCAUUUGAAUCCCCACCGCAAGCUUGAAUUGAGUAUAGGUUUAAGCUUGAAAUGAGCCUCAAUGAACUUCAAGACCAGGAGCACACCACCCUAACAGCUGCGCUUAAAUCACUGAUCCACCCUUUUGCCUUCAGCUUCAAGUACCCUCAGAUCACCGGCCUUCCUCAUGACUUAGGUGGUGACCUUCUUCUUCUUGUGUGUCUUGAACCAGGAGCUCAACAACCUCGUGGCCUGCGCUUCUUAAACCGGCUUCUACACACAAGAACCUUCCCAUUGCUCCACACAAUGGAUCAAGUCUUCCUCUUGUGUGUCUUGAACCAGGAGCUCAACAACCUCGUGGCCUGCGCUUCUUAAACCAGCUUCUACACACAAGUAUCUUCCCAUUGCUCCACACAAUGGUUCAAGUCUUCCUCUUGUCUUGGAUAGGUGGUGAGCAGAGAACACUUCUUGUGAACCUGAAACACCACUCAAACUCCAGCAAGGAUAAGACACAAGAGUAUUGGGAUCAAUCCUUGAUUAAUCAUCAAGUUUGAUUCCCAAUCUCACAAGCAUUGCAACAAAUUAAAACAAGUCGUCAAGGCAAGCAUUUUAUCUCUCAACAUCAAGCAAGACUCUUUAAGCAUCCUAGGACAGAUUCUAAAUCAUUUUAAUUCAUUUAGCAAUCUUUAAUACAUCCUCAGGUUUUCAAUCAAUACACAACCUCACAAUCAGUUCAUAUGCUCAAGCUUUUAACUAAAAGGAAAGAGAUCCAGCUUACAGCCAAGGAACUUGUUUGUUCCUUGAAUCUCCAUGGUACAUGGCAAGUUUUGAGCUGUUGGUUUCGAUCCCAGCAUCUUCUUCUUCCAUGAACCAUCCUCUUCAACUCUCCAUGUCAAAGACCCCACCUUUCUUCAUGGUUUGAACUCGCCACACCAGAUCCAUGUUGAAAGCUAUCACAUUUCUUCUAUGACAGUGAGAAAGGGGAGCUUGGAACUGGUUUUCAUGGAGAGGUUAGUAACGCCACUCCAUAACCUUUUCUUCUAGGGACCUUCUUCCUUCAAGGACGUUCAUGAGAGAGUGAGGCUGGACUGAGAAGAGCUUCUGGACGUCUAGGAUGGAACUUCUUCUUCUUGAAGAUGUAAAACAGCCGGACUGAACAUGAAGCUUCUUAUCAGCUUGAAAUGGCGUGGGAGUGAGCUGUGAGCUUAGGCGGAAGCAACACCAAGUUCAGGUGAACCUGGCUCUGAUACCAUAUGAGGUUUGUAGAGUUCUCUUCUCUGGUUGUAUGUGUGUGUGUAUAAACUCCAAUGGAGAAAGAUGAGAGCUUGCUCUAGGUGAUUUAGAAAGAGAGAUUGAUGAGAGUGUUUAUGAGAGAAUAAGAGACUUAGGAACAUAGAUUAAGAGACUGAGAGAUUAGAAGAAUAAGAGAUUAGAGAUUAGGGUUUCAGAUUCAAGAACAAGUUUAUCAUCCAUGAAGUGGAGAGAGGAACUCCCCCUUACUCCCUUAGGGUUACAAAUCGCCACUACAUAGCCUUUAUAUAGGCUUUACACUUUGCAAUUACAUAAACCCUUAAUCUAAUGGAUAGAAAUAACUUGAGAUGACUGGAUGGCUAGGAUGGAGGGUGAGUUUGCAAUCUGUGUGAUGUCUUGUGAUUGGAUGAUAGAUGAUGGUGUCUGAUUGGUUAAUUCAAAUCUGGUCAAGGCAAGGGCUGGCUUCUGAUUGGUUGCUUAUAGGCUCCUAUGAACCUUCCCAUGUAUCAGACCAGAUACAUGGUCCAUGCUCCUUUAACU